UCUUUGCAUGGCACACACACAGAGAGAGAGAGAGAGAGAGAGAGAGAGAGAGAGAGAGAGAGAGAGAGAGGAAGAAAGAGGAGAGAGAGGGAGAGAGGAAGAGGGAGAGAGACAGAGAGAAUGAGAGAGAAUGAGAGAGAGAGAAUGAGAGAGAGAGAGAGAGAGAGAGAGAGAGAGAGAGAGAGAGAGAGAGAGAACGCUUCAGCUCGGAUCUAAGAGAGCCCCCAUAACUUUGUCAUUUUUGUUUCACCCUGAGCAGGUCGGACAGUCUCUAUGGUAGUUGAAGAAAGAAUUCAGUAACUUCAUGACUUGGGCCCAUAAGAACAUGAGCCUUUAGCCAGGCCUUAACAAUUUGGUAGGAAUACAAAUGUUCUUGAGGAGAGCUGGAACUAGAACAACUAGAGAUAAGAUGCUGGCACCUUGUGGGUUGGUCGAUGACAUGCUGUUCCUGGAGCACCCGAGAGCCUAGGUUUCUCUGGAACAACUUGCUUUUUCCUCUUUUUUUUCAACUUCGCUGUCAGAAUCACUGCCUGAAGAGCGUGAAGAAACAAGUUCCUUUGAUUUAGGCAUUGCUCUGCUCCAGCAUCCAACAGCCCCUAGCUCGCUCGCUCGCUCCGGACUAGCCCUGUAGGAUCUUAACUUGGGGUCACAACUCAGUUCCUGAAUCUGGACCAUGGUCCUGAUCCAUCAGUCCUGGGGCAUAUGCUCAAUAAAUUAGCCCUGUCUGACUUAGAUCAGUGUCCGUGUAGUUUGUGAGGUGAUUCCUAAACCCAACACUGCCUCCUUCAUCUUCCUC
rnacentral:lncRNA from 1 species